rnacentral:rRNA from 1 species
UACGUAGGGGCAAGCGUUGUCCGGAUUUAUUGGGCGUAAAGAGCGUGUAGGCGGCCAGGUAGGUCUGCUGUGAAAACUCGAGGCUCAACCUCGAGACGUCGGCGGAAACCAUCUGGCUAGAGUCCGGAAGAGGAGAGUGGAAUUCCUGGUGUAGCGGUGAAAUGCGCAGAUAUCAGGAAGAACACCCGUGGCGAAGGCGGCUCUCUGGGACGGUACUGACGCUGAGACGCGAAAGCGUGGGAGCAAACAGG